rnacentral:rRNA from 1 species
UUUGGUUAAGUUAGAAAGGGCGCACGGUGGAUGCCUUGACACUAGGAGUCGAUGAAGGACGGGACUAACGCCGAUAUGCUUCGGGGAGCUGUAAGUAAGCUUUGAUCCGAAGAUUUCCGAAUGGGGAAACCCACCAUACGUAAUGGUAUGGUAUCCUUAUCUGAAUACAUAGGGUAAGGAAGACAGACCCAGGGAACUGAAACAUCUAAGUACCUGGAGGAAGAGAAAGCAAAUGCGAUUUCCUGAGUAGCGGCGAGCGAAACGGAACAUAGCCCAAACCAAGAGGCUUGCCUCUUGGGGUUGUAGGACAUUCUAUACGGAGUUACAAAGGAACGAGGUAGACGAAGCGACCUGGAAAGGUCCGUCGUAGAGGGUAACAACCCCGUAGUCGAAACUUCGUUCUCUCUUGAAUGUAUCCUGAGUACGGCGGAACACGUGAAAUUCCGUCGGAAUCUGGGAGGACCAUCUCCCAAGGCUAAAUACUCCCUAGUGAUCGAUAGUGAACCAGUACCGUGAGGGAAAGGUGAAAAGCACCCCGGAAGGGGAGUGAAAGAGAUCCUGAAACCGUGUGCCUACAAAUAGUCAGAGCCCGUUAAUGGGUGAUGGCGUGCCUUUUGUAGAAUGAACCGGCGAGUUACGAUCCCGUGCGAGGUUAAGCUGAAGAGGCGGAGCCGCAGCGAAAGCGAGUCUGAAUAGGGCGUUUAGUACGUGGUCGUAGACCCGAAACCAGGUGAUCUACCCAUGUCCAGGGUGAAGUUCAGGUAACACUGAAUGGAGGCCCGAACCCACGCACGUUGAAAAGUGCGGGGAUGAGGUGUGGGUAGCGGAGAAAUUCCAAUCGAACCUGGAGAUAGCUGGUUCUCCCCGAAAUAGCUUUAGGGCUAGCCUUAAGUGUAAGAGUCUUGGAGGUAGAGCACUGAUUGGACUAGGGGUCCUCAUCGGAUUACCGAAUUCAGUCAAACUCCGAAUGCCAAUGACUUAUCCUUAGGAGUCAGACUGCGAGUGAUAAGAUCCGUAGUCAAAAGGGAAACAGCCCAGACCGCCAGCUAAGGUCCCAAAGUGUGUAUUAAGUGGAAAAGGAUGUGGAGUUGCUUAGACAACUAGGAUGUUGGCUUAGAAGCAGCCACCAUUUAAAGAGUGCGUAAUAGCUCACUAGUCGAGUGACUCUGCGCCGAAAAUGUACCGGGGCUAAAUACACCACCGAAGCUGCGGAUUGAUACCAAUGGUAUCAGUGGUAGGGGAGCGUUCUAAGGACAGUGAAGUCAGACCGUAAGGACUGGUGGAGUGCUUAGAAGUGAGAAUGCCGGUAUGAGUAGCGAAAGACGGGUGAGAAUCCCGUCCACCGAAUGCCUAAGGUUUCCUGAGGAAGGCUCGUCCGCUCAGGGUUAGUCAGGACCUAAGCCGAGGCCGACAGGCGUAGGCGAUGGACAACAGGUUGAUAUUCCUGUACCACCUCUUUAUCGUUUGAGCAAUGGAGGGACGCAGAAGGAUAGAAGAAGCGUGCGAUUGGUUGUGCACGUCCAAGCAGUUAGGCUGAUAAGUAGGCAAAUCCGCUUAUCGUGAAGGCUGAGCUGUGAUGGGGAAGCUCCUUAUGGAGCGAAGUCUUUGAUUCCCCGCUGCCAAGAAAAGCUUCUAGCGAGAUAAAAGGUGCCUGUACCGCAAACCGACACAGGUAGGCGAGGAGAGAAUCCUAAGGUGUGCGAGAGAACUCUGGUUAAGGAACUCGGCAAAAUGACCCCGUAACUUCGGGAGAAGGGGUGCUUUCUUAACGGAAAGCCGCAGUGAAUAGGCCCAAGCGACUGUUUAGCAAAAACACAGCUCUCUGCGAAGCCGUAAGGCGAAGUAUAGGGGGUGACACCUGCCCGGUGCUGGAAGGUUAAGGAGAGGGGUUAGCGUAAGCGAAGCUCUGAACUGAAGCCCCAGUAAACGGCGGCCGUAACUAUAACGGUCCUAAGGUAGCGAAAUUCCUUGUCGGGUAAGUUCCGACCCGCACGAAAGGUGUAACGAUUUGGGCACUGUCUCAACCAGAGACUCGGUGAAAUUAUAGUACCUGUGAAGAUGCAGGUUACCCGCGACAGGACGGAAAGACCCCGUGGAGCUUUACUGUAGCCUGAUAUUGAAUUUUGGUACAGUUUGUACAGGAUAGGCGGGAGCCAUUGAAACCGGAGCGCUAGCUUCGGUGGAGGCGCUGGUGGGAUACCGCCCUGACUGUAUUGAAAUUCUAACCUACGGGUCUUAUCGACCCGGGAGACAGUGUCAGGUGGGCAGUUUGACUGGGGCGGUCGCCUCCUAAAGUGUAACGGAGGCGCCCAAAGGUUCCCUCAGAAUGGUUGGAAAUCAUUCGUAGAGUGCAAAGGCAUAAGGGAGCUUGACUGCGAGACCUACAAGUCGAGCAGGGACGAAAGUCGGGCUUAGUGAUCCGGUGGUUCCGCAUGGAAGGGCCAUCGCUCAACGGAUAAAAGCUACCCCGGGGAUAACAGGCUUAUCUCCCCCAAGAGUCCACAUCGACGGGGAGGUUUGGCACCUCGAUGUCGGCUCAUCGCAUCCUGGGGCUGUAGUCGGUCCCAAGGGUUGGGCUGUUCGCCCAUUAAAGCGGUACGCGAGCUGGGUUCAGAACGUCGUGAGACAGUUCGGUCCCUAUCCGUCGUGGGCGUAGGAAAUUUGAGAGGAGCUGUCCUUAGUACGAGAGGACCGGGAUGGACGCACCGCUGGUGUACCAGUUGUUCUGCCAAGGGCAUAGCUGGGUAGCUAUGUGCGGAAGGGAUAAGUGCUGAAAGCAUCUAAGCAUGAAGCCCCCCUCAAGAUGAGAUUUCCCAUAGCGUAAGCUAGUAAGAUCCCUGAAAGAUGAUCAGGUUGAUAGGUUCGAGGUGGAAGCAUGGUGACAUGUGGAGCUGACGAAUACUAAUAGAUCGAGG